rnacentral:rRNA from 1 species
GACGAAGGGGGCUAGCGUUGUUCGGAAUUACUGGGCGUAAAGCGCGCGCAGGCGGCUAUCCAAGUCAGUGGUGAAAGCCCGGAGCUCAACUCCGGAACUGCCAUUGAAACUGUUUAGCUUGAGGAUGAGAGAGGUGAGUGGAAUUCCCAGUGUAGAGGUGAAAUUCGUAGAUAUUGGGAAGAACACCGGUGGCGAAGGCGGCUCACUGGCUCAUUACUGACGCUCAGGCGCGAUAGCGUGGGGAUCAAACAGG